rnacentral:rRNA from 1 species
UACAGAGGGUGCAAGCGUUAAUCGGAAUUACUGGGCGGUAAAGCGUGCGUAUGACGGUUAUUUAAGUCAGGUGAUUGAAAGCCCCGGGCUACAACCUGGGAAUUGCAUUUGACGUACUGAAUGAGCCUAGGGUGCGGAAGAGGGAAUGCGGGAAUUUCCGGUGUAUGCGGUGGAAAUGACGUAGAUAUCGGAAGGAACACCAGUGGCGAAAGCGCUUCCGUGGUCCAGCACCGACGUUCAAGGCACGAA